GAUGAACGCUGGCGGCGUGCUUAACACAUGCAAGUCGAACGAUGAAGCCCAGCUUGCUGGGUGGAUUAGUGUCGCGCGGGUGAGUGACACGUGAGUAACCUGCCCUUGACUCUGGGGUAAGCCUGGGAAACUGGGUGUAAUACUGGAUAUGGCUUCUCAUCGCAUGGUGGGGGGUGGAGAGAUUUAUUGGUGUUGGAUGGACUCGCGGCCUAUCAGCUUGUUGGUGAGGUAAGGGCUCACAAAGGCGACGACGGGUAGCCGGCCUGAGAGGGUGACCGGCCACACUGGGACUGAGACAAGGCCCAGACUCCUACGGGAGGCAGCAGUGGGGAAUAUUGCACAAUGGGCGCAAGCCUGAUGCAGCGACGCCGCGUGAGGGAUGACGGCCUUCGGGUUGUAAACCUCUUUCAGUAGUGAAGAAGCGAGAGUGACGGUACCUGCUGAAGAAGCGCCGGCUAACUACGUG
rnacentral:rRNA from 1 species